UGUCCCACCUGCGUCUCGGUCUGCGAAUAACAUAUUUCCACAUCUCUCUCGAUUCAGCCGUUUGCACUGUACCAAAAACAACAUUGUGGUUCGAAGAUAAACAGAGAUGCGACUCUAAUUUUCUCGAUCAGAAGGCGGAUUAAACAACAUAUGGAUCAGCAGUAUGAAAGCCAACAACACGUUUACCCAGGGCCAAGCAAGAUUGUGAUGAGGCAGUUUAUCGAUUAUGCAGGUUUCAACAACAAAUGCCGGAAGGUUUCUGCAUUGCUCGUAUUGACCGUUUGCUGCUUGUAGAGGCUAUGAUUUCGGAAGCGUUUGCUGCUUGUAGAGGCUAUGAUUUCGGAAACGAGACAGGACAUACAAGCCAAAAUAAUGCUGGAAAGCCAGGGUAGGCCAAUAUUUCCAGUGACUGUAUCGACGAGGGAUGAACUUUAUGCAAUGAUGAUGCAGACGCUCUGUUCGCCGCAAGAUGCAGCUAACCCUAUGAUACAGGACGAGCAGCAAGCUAGGAAGCAGGUUUACUCCAUGGUAGCUCGAUAAAUGCAGUGUUUGCGAUUUUGUUGCAUUCGAGUUCAUCGGGGAAGAUUAUCCUGUUUGCAAGCAAGACGGUUUUUGGAACACGCAAAGAAACUAUUCCAGAAAAACUGCUG